rnacentral:rRNA from 1 species
UACGUAGGGUGCGAGCGUUGUCCGGAAUUAUUGGGCGUAAAGAGCUUGUAGGCGGUUUGUCGCGUCUGCCGUGAAAAUCCGGGGCUCAACCCCGGACUUGCGGUGGGUACGGGCAGACUAGAGUGUGGUAGGGGAGACUGGAAUUCCUGGUGUAGCGGUGGAAUGCGCAGAUAUCAGGAGGAACACCGAUGGCGAAGGCAGAUCUCUGGGCCGUAACUGACGCUGAGGAGCGAAAGCAUGGGGAGCGAACAGG